rnacentral:rRNA from 1 species
GGACCCUACUGCUAUCGGGGUGGGACUAAAACAUGCAAGUCGAGCGCCUCCAAGCUAUGGUGAAGGCGCGGCAAACGGCUCAGUAACACGUGGCCAACCUACCCUUGGGACGGAGACAACCCCGGGAAACUGGGGCUAAUCCCCGAUAGGUGAGGAAUCCUGGAAUGGACCCUCGCCCAAAAGACGUUGAGUCCAUGCUAUUCAGCGUCGCCCAAGGAUGGAGCCGCGACCGAUCAGGUAGUUGGUGAGGCAACGGCUCACCAAGCCUAUAACCGGUACGGGCCGUGAGAGCGGGAGCCCGGAGAUGGGCACUGAGACAAGGGCCCAGGCCCUACGGGGCGCAGCAGUUGCGAAAACUCCGCAAUGCGCGAAAGCGUGACGGGGCUACCCCGAGUGCCGCCCGUUGAGGGCGGCUUUUCCACGGUGUAAGGAGCCGUGGGAAUAAGGAGAGGGCAAGACUGGUGUCAGCCGCCGCGGUAAUACCAGCUCUCCGAGUGGUGGGGACGAUUAUUGGGCUUAAAGCGUUCGUAGCCGGCUUAACAAGUCUUCCGUUAAAUCCAACGAUCUAAUCGUUGGGCUGCGGGAGAUACUGUUGGGCUAGGAGGCGGGAGAAGCCGACGGUAUUCUCGGGGUAGGGGUGAAAUCCUGUAAUCCCGGGAGGACCACCAGUGGCGAANGCGGUCGGCUAGAACGCGCUCGACGGUGAGGGACGAAAGCUGGGGGANCGAACCGGAUUAGAAACCCGGGUAGUCCCAGCUGUAAACGAUGCGGGCUNGGUGUUGGGGUGGCCACGAGCCACUUCAGUGCCGCAUGGAAGCAAUUAAGCCCGCCGCCUGGG